rnacentral:ncRNA from 1 species
UGAAAGGCCGUGAAGGGGAAAGUAGGCGGUUCGCCGGUUUCCAGCGAGCCGGAGAGGGUGAGAGCCCGGUAACCGCGAGCCGGCCGAAAGCCACCCCGGAGCCUCCUGCCGAACGGCUUUGUAUACCCGAAGCCCAGUAGGCCAGGACGGAGGAGCCCCGUUAAAGGCCGGGCGUCUGCUUAGCGACGCCGUGAGGUGGGCCUUUCAGGCCAAAAAGGGUGGUACCGCGGGAAAGCCUCCCGUCCCUUGG